CCGCAUCGAGGAGCCUUUUACAGAAGUGGCUCCAGGAGCAUCCACAUCUGCCUCUCGGGGCCCACGGGGCCCAGGCCAGCUACAGAAGCACCCUGCUUUCCAUGGGAAAAUGCUGCAAAUGGGGGAGAAAGGAGAGAAGGGUUUCAGACUGCAAAGACCCUUCGACAUCAGCUAGCACCAAGUUCUAUUAUGUAAAUAAACUGAAGGGCUUCAGACUGGGAGUGAAGCCAAGCAGGUGAUAGAAGUGUUUGUAGGAGGAUUUUUUUGACAUAAACAUGAAAUGGAGCGAGUGGUAACGCCAUCCGUCUCCUGCCCAGACCUCCCCACUGUCACUGUCCAGCCUGAAGCCGCCCUGGUGAAGCAGGUGGAGGAGCAGCUCCAUGCCCGGCUCCCCGGCCUCCCUCCCUCAGCUCCAGGGCACUCACGUGCUUGAAACAGCUGACGGGAGCAGCCUUGUAACUGUGAUCCUUCAGGAACUUCCCCCAGUCGAAGCCCAAGACCAGAGCUGCAGAGCACAGAGGACGAGUCAGACUAGGAGCCUGCGCAGCAGCCACUCCAGGAGCCUGGACCCCAAGGGCCCUGUGGGACCUGCAGAGGUGAUCCCAACAUGCAGGCAAAUUUGGGAAGCAGUGUUGCGGAUGCUGGUCCCAGCUACUGGGAAACAAGGUAAGAUGAGGCCCCUGAGAUGAGGUUCCAGCCUCAAUUCCGCCAUUCUCCUCCUACAGAGCCACACUAGGUAUGUCAUUCUACCCCCUUGGACCUCAGUUAUACUUAUCAAUAAAUGUGUGGGUUCAACACCACAUCCAAGAAUCUUUCCAUCUCUAAAGAUUCUAUAAAUAUCAGUAAUUUAGAAAAUUGGCAAGACUUUCUAGGUAGCUGCCUGUGACAUGGAGUCCGACGAGGCAUGGUCUUCCUGAAGCCACCAUGGCUGGUGAACCUUGGGCCUGUUUCCCAACUUCCUUUGAAAGGAUUUAUAAAAGUGUGGGGUGAAGACCAAGGGUGUCAGACUCCCCCAUAGUUCUUGUUUAAAAUGUACUGAAUACACCAGACUCUGGGGGAUGACGGUAGGUAAUGGAGGGUAGCUUCAGGAACCUAUAAUUUAAAAAGCUCCACAAAUGGAUUUUUCUGUCCUCUGAAGUUUGAGAACAUAAUAAAUACCAGCUGGCCACAAGCAAGGACCUUUUCAAACUUUCCUGGCCCUGGCCUUCAGUCACUUGGUGGUUCCUGUCUCAGCACCAAAGGCACCGGGAAGGAUCCAAGUGACUGCCUCUCACCUGUAAUCUAGCCAAGAUACUGGCUUUCUUGGAGUUGGAGGAGUAGCUCCUGGAGCAGGAGACGCUGCAGAACCUCUUGGUCUUGGAGAAGAAGGCUUCCCUUGUACCCACGAUACCACACAUCUCACAGACAGCUGGGAAGAGAACUUAGCACAUGACUCACCCAAUAUGGCCACCUCAAAGCAAACAAAGUGAUGGGCCCUUCAAAACCUGGGGCACUGCAUUAACCAGGUGAGCCCCUGCCCCCACAAAGGCUAAUGGAAUAAGAGGAGGAAUGGGAGGCACUGGUGUGUAUAUCCUGAAUCUACCUGAAUGAAGUGCUGCUGCUUGGCCUCCCUUGGCUACAGAUGUCAACAGAGGGGCUGAUGGAAAUCCAUGAGGACGACUGGGGGAACAGGGGACACUCUGAAGGCACCUGGCUCAGAACCACUGCCAUCCAAGGAGCGAGGAGUCCCAGGGCUGAGCAAAUGCAGCGGGGAGGUCGGCAGUUCCCCUGCUUCCCGAUCCUCAUUUUCUGCUUCACUUGACUCCUCCAGAUAGGAGCUGCUGUCACUGCCCACACUGCUGUUAUAACUCCGGAAACUAUCAUAGCCACCAAACAGCUCCAAGUCGUCAUCUUCCUCUUCCUCCAUUGGCUCUGAAGAUGGGGUCUCCUAAUGGAGGAUGACACAAACCAGGUAGAAAGAAUUAUGAUUGGCUUUAGUGCACGGGGGGAGAAGCUGCAGAUCUGCUAUCAGCCCCCUCACACUUUCGGGAACCUUUCAAAUACCCCUUUUACAAACACCAAGAUCAUUACUCCUAUUUACACAUUUCUCCACCAUGAUGCAAUUCAACAGCUUAACAAGACAGAAAAUAUGUGUUAGGAAUUCACCAGGCUCCUCUGUGGAUUUACAAAUGAUGAUAUUUUAACAUGGUUCAAAUAGAAUACUGUAUAACAAUGUGGGCCAGGUGCGGUGGCUCAUGCCUGUAAUCCUAGCACUUUGGGAGGCCGAGGCUGGCAGAUCACCUGAGGUCAGGAGUUCGAGACCAGCCUGGCCAAGAGGGUGAAACCCUGUCUCUACAAAAAAAUACAAGAAAAAGUUAGCCAGGCGUGGUGGCGGGCACCUGUAGUCCAGCUACUUGGGAGGCUGGGGCAGAGAGGCAAAGGUUGUAGUGGGCCAAGAUCGUGCCACUGCACUCCAGUCUGCAUGACAGAGCAAGACGCUAUCUC
rnacentral:antisense_RNA from 1 species